rnacentral:rRNA from 1 species
GACGAACGCUGGCGGCGUGCUUAACACAUGCGAGUCGAACGGAAAGACCCUGCUUUUGUGGGGUGCUCGAGUGGCGAACGGGUGAGUAACACGUGAGUAACCUGCCCUUGACUUUGGGAUAACUUCAGGAAACUGGGGCUAAUACCGGAUAGGAGCUCCUGCUGCAUGGUGGGGGUUGGAAAGUUUCGGCGGUUGGGGAUGGACUCGCGGCUUAUCAGCUUGUUGGUGGGGUAGUGGCUUACCAAGGCUUUGACGGGUAGCCGGCCUGAGAGGGUGACCGGCCACAUUGGGACUGAGAUACGGCCCAGACUCCUACGGGAGGCAGCAGUGGGGAAUAUUGCACAAUGGGCGGAAGCCUGAUGCAGCAACGCCGCGUGCGGGAUGACGGCCUUCGGGUUGUAAACCGCCUUCGCCUGUGACGAAGCGUGAGUGACGGUAAUGGGUAAAGAAGCACCGGCUAACUACGUG